ensembl:lncRNA
AGAGAGAGAGAGAGAGAGAGAGAGAGAGAGAGAGAGAGAGAGAGAGAGAGAGAGAGAGAGAGAGAGAGAGAGAGAGAGAGAGAGAGAGAGAGAGGGGCCAAGAAAGAAGAGUUGAGGAAGAAAUGGUUGGAUUGAACAUUCAUUCACCGUGACCGCGGUGCGGGCACUCCCGCGACUCCCGGCCGCCACAUCUCCCUCGGCACCCUGCCGCCCGGGCACUGUGACCUUGGGCACCGUGACCUUGGGCACCGUGACCUUGGGCACCGUGACCUUGGGCACCGCGACCACUCCUGUGUCACCCGCGACUCCCGUCAUGUCCCGUGAACAAAUGAAUGAAUGGCCCGGGCCGCGGUUUCAGGAAGAAGAGCAGCAGGGUGAGGUCUCAGUCAGACCUGACAACAUAGAACAGGCCCGGUUCCAGAACAGAAUGCCAUGGGGUGCAUCUGAGAUUGCAAAUAAUUGUGCAUUGUCGUUCACAUUGUAACUGAAAAAAUAAAACAGAUUUUAGCUGAACAAGGAAAGAACACUUUCAAACUUUGAACAUCUUUCUGUAUUUACCAAAGUGAACCACUAAAUGUCAUGGCUACUUGUACUGCCUUUCUCUGUCUUGCAUUUGUCUUGGGCAUCUGUCUUGCCCUGAUUCAUGUCACCCACCGUUUGUUUUUCAUAAUGACUAAGUUGUAAAGUUACACAGUGCAGUGUAUAUUAGUCUUUAUACAACGGGGGGCCUAAAUCCAGCAAUCUGAUUGGUUCCUAACUGUUGUAUAAUGAGCGUAUACAUAACUGCUAUGACGCCCGAUCAUUUUGUGAAAGUUUGCAUAUCACUCCGCGCCUGGAAGUAGAAACAGUUACAAAGUAAAACAUAUGUUGGAUGAUGGAGAGGGUGUAAAUGUUGUUACUCCGGGAGUGAGCAAGGCGAUGGAGAGACUAACGAAAGCUUAGGCACACGGCGAGUGAACUGCUCCAUAGGAUAAAUUGCCGGUGAACCGCUCUAGCGGAGCCUUCUCUCGGAGGGACGCUAAAGUGUGUUGCAUAGCGACCGUCGUGCAUUUGGAAGGCAGCCAGGAGGGACUACUUUUUUGUAUUCUUUAAUAAAACGGCUACUUUGACUUUCUUGGUUUCUAGAGGCUAGGCAGUUAGUUUUCAUUUUCACAGUGGACUGUUGUAGUUUCAUUCAAUGAAUUGAUGCAACUUUACAGUUGUAAGAUUGCACUUUUUUGGUACUCUUUUGAAAAGCUUCCUCUGUAAAAAAGGAAAAUUUAUUAAGUUGUCGCAGAUUCUUUUUGUAAAGUUACAGAAGUGGUACUCAAUGUUUUGUAAGUUUGAGCCAGUUUUAAGGUCUCAAAUUAAACAAGAUGAGAACUUAAAUAAUCCCAGCACUUUAUGGAUGUAUUGUUUAUCAUAGAAAGUAAUAAGAAAUUACUCUUUACAUUAAGGUAGUAGCCUAGUGAGAACAGGGUGUUGGGGGAAUUACUUUUUUCCCCUCUUUUUCAUCAAACCGCACUUUCCGCAAGUUCCCGCAUUUUUCCGCAUUUUUUGCAAGUUCCCGCAAUUUCAUUGCAUAAAAUUGCAUAAAUAUGCCUCAUAUUUCAUCGCAUUUUUUCAGAAAACGUGCCGCAUAAUCAAGGAUUUUUGGCCGCAUAAAUCACAAAAAAACGCCGCAUUUUUCUGCAGGGACUCAUCAAUAAAAAUGCAUUUUAUUGAUGGGCACCUUUCAGGCCACUUAAUCACCAUACAUGUAUAAUUAAUCAAAGUAUCAUCAGCGAGAGGUCUGACCGAUCGCAGUU